GCCCCGAUAGUUCAAUGGAUAGAACAAGGCACUCCUAAGGCUUAAAUGUGGGUUCGAUUCCCGCUCGGGGCA
rnacentral:tRNA from 1 species